ACUGCCCCUCUGAAAGCCUUCUUUCCUCCUGCCUCUUAUGACUCACGUUAGUGUUUUUGGGUUUUUGUGUUUGUGGAUUUUUAUUUUAGGUUGAUUUGGUGGUUUGUUUUUUCUUUUUUUUUUCCCCCACUGAAGGUGAACACAGGAAAAGCUAAGCAAUUCAAGCACCCAGCAGCAUGCUUACCAUUACACCAGCAAUGAUUACAGGGCAUCACUGUACUGCUUUCUACGCUCAGUGGGAUUAAUGGAAGGAAGCAAGUCUGCUGAAAAAAGAUCACAGAGGAUACUACUGGCUUUAUCAAAAAAGGGCUUAAGUUGUGCUCUGGGGGUUAUGCACUUGGCCAUGGGUGCUGUUUUCCUGGUAGGAAGGAAGCAAAGAGAAAGCACUGUCAUCCUGCACUGAGGCUUUGUCUGCUGAUGGAACUCAGGGUAGAAAUCAGUUCUGAUUUUCACAGAAGGCUGCAGCCGCCCAGACAGUUCAGCUGCCAGAGAUGACUCCCACCUACUGUAUAAACAAAGUUAGAUAUAAACCAAAAGCCAGAGAAACCUCAGAGGAAAAAAAAAAAUCAUGCAGCAGGAGGAGAGGGAUGUGGCACUCUGCUCUUGAAUCAACCAAGUUUGCCGUGACUUACAGUUUGAACAGCCCACAAGGAACUCAGCAAAACAAAACUUGGAAUUGCCAUCUUUCUGUUUUAGACCACAGCCCAUGUCUCUGGCACCCUACAAUCGAAGUUUGGAUGUGGAAAUGCAAGAAAGACUAUUCAGAGAAGAAGCUGUGGAGCAAGAUAAACAGCAUGAGAAAGUGAGCCUGAGAACCGAGGACACAUCCAGAAGACAAGAAAAACAAAGUCAAGUAUGCUGCAUGAUGGCUGCCUCAUGAUGACCCUGAUUGGAGGCAGAGCAUGUGGCUAGGAACAACUCAUGGCUCUGAUUGGAUAAGCGCCUGUACGCAUGGUUAAGGAGUGUUUGUGGAAUGUUCUGUUGACGUGUAAAGGCAAGUGGGAAAGUUAAAAGAGAAAACUUGUGAAUGUAUAUAAAGGAUGUUAGAAACUGUAAUAAAGGAUUUGGAUUGU
rnacentral:lncRNA from 7 species